CUUGGUCAUUUAGAGGAAGUAAAAGUCGUAACAAGGUUUCCGUAGGUGAACCUGCGGAAGGAUCAUUACAGAGUUCAUGCCCUCACGGGUAGAUCUCCCACCCUUGAAUACCUUACCUUUGUUGCUUUGGCGGGCCACGUUCGCGUGUCGGCUUCGGCUGGCUGUGCCCGCCAGAGGACCCAAACUCUUUUUGUUUAGUGAUGUCUGAGUACUAUAUAAUAGUUAAAACUUUCAACAACGGAUCUCUUGGUUCUGGCAUCGAUGAAGAACGCAGCGAAAUGCGAUAAGUAAUGUGAAUUGCAGAAUUCAGUGAAUCAUCGAAUCUUUGAACGCACAUUGCGCCCCUUGGUAUUCCGAGGGGCAUGCCUGUUCGAGCGUCAUUAUGACCACUCAAGCCCGGCUUGGUGUUGGGGUCCGCGGUCCCGCGGCCCUUAAAAUCAGUGGCGGCGCCAUCUGGCUCUAAGCGUAGUAAUACUCCUCGCUAUAGGGUCCCGGUGGAUGCUUGCCAUCAACCCCCAAUCUCACGGUUGACCUCGGAUCAGGUAGGGAUACCCGCUGAACUUAAGCAUAUCAAUAAGCGGAGGA
rnacentral:rRNA from 3 species